rnacentral:sRNA from 1 species
UACACCUGCCCGAGUGGGCGUUUCCUCCCUAGACUUGGCCGGAGCCUUCGGGCUCCGGCCCCUUCUGGGAGACAG